rfam:Gossypium hirsutum cultivar TM-1 chromosome 15, whole genome shotgun sequence
AACCCAUGGUGAGGGCACCUUCUCAAUAGGUCCUUGUAUCUCUCCCAUGCAUCUUAGAGUGUCUCUAGAUCCAUCUCCACAAAAGAAGAGAUAUCAUUCCUCAAUUU